GAUGAAGAACGUAGCGAAAUGCGAUAAGUAGUGUGAAUUGCAGAAUUCCGUGAAUCAUUGAAUCUUUGAACGCACAUUGCGCCUCCUGGUAAUCCGUGAGGCAUGCCUGUCCGAGCGUCAGUAAAAAGCAACUCGGCCGCGGCUGGCGGUUGGUGAUGGAGGAAGAGCACGUCUCGUUGUCGGUCUCCCCUCCCAAAAUCAACGGCGGAAUGUCACUGGCACUCGGUGUUGUAGUAUUAUUUGCCGAUCACCCAUUGUUGUUCCUGCCGCCCAAACCCCCACAAUUCUCUUGAUUGACCUCGGAUCAGGUAGGGAUACCCGCUGAACUUAAGCAUAUCAAUAAGCGGAGGA
rnacentral:misc_RNA from 1 species